AGUCGAACGGCAGCACGGGCUUCGGCCUGGUGGCGAGUGGCGAACGGGUGAGUAAUACAUCGGAACGUGCCCUGUAGUGGGGGAUAACUAGUCGAAAGAUUAGCUAAUACCGCAUACGACCUGAGGGUGAAAGCGGGGGACCGUAAGGCCUCGCGCUACAGGAGCGGCCGAUGUCUGAUUAGCUAGUUGGUGGGGUAAAAGCCUACCAAGGCGACGAUCAGUAGCUGGUCUGAGAGGACGAUCAGCCACACUGGGACUGAGACACGGCCCAGACUCCUACGGGAGGCAGCAGUGGGGAAUUUUGGACAAUGGGGGCAACCCUGAUCCAGCAAUGCCGCGUGUGUGAAGAAGGCCUUCGGGUUGUAAAGCACUUUUGUCCGGAAAGAAAUGGCUCUGGUUAAUACCCGGGGUCGACGACGGUACCGGAAGAAUAAGCACCGGCUAACUACGUGCCAGCAGCCGCGGUAAUACGUAGGGUGCGAGCGUUAAUCGGAAUUACUGGGCGUAAAGCGUGCGCAGGCGGUUUUGUAAGACAGGCGUGAAAUCCCCGAGCUCAACUUGGGAAUGGCGCUUGUGACUGCAAGGCUAGAGUAUGUCAGAGGGGGGUAGAAUUCCACGUGUAGCAGUGAAAUGCGUAGAGAUGUGGAGGAAUACCGAUGGCGAAGGCAGCCCCCUGGGACGUCACUGACGCUCAUGCACGAAAGCGUGGGGAGCAAACAGGAUUAGAUACCCUGGUAGUCCACGCCCUAAACGAUGUCAACUAGUUGUUGGGGAAUCAUUUCUUCAGUAACGUAGCUAACGCGUGAAGUUGACCGCCUGGGGAGUACGGUCGCAAGAUUAAAACUCAAAGGAAUUGACGGGGACCCGCACAGCGG
rnacentral:rRNA from 1 species